rnacentral:rRNA from 1 species
AUUGAACGCUGGCGGCAUGCCUUACACAUGCAAGUCGAACGGUAACGCGGGGCAACCUGGCGACGAGUGGCGAACGGGUGAGUAAUGCAUCGGAACGUGCCCAGUAGUGGGGGAUAGCCCGGCGAAAGCCGGAUUAAUACCGCAUACGACCUACGGGUGAAAGCGGGGGACCGCAAGGCCUCGCGCUACUGGAGCGGCCGAUGUCAGAUUAGGUAGUUGGUGGGGUAAAAGCCUACCAAGCCUGCGAUCUGUAGCUGGUCUGAGAGGACGACCAGCCACGCUGGGACUGAGACACGGCCCAGACUCCUACGGGAGGCAGCAGUGGGGAAUUUUGGACAAUGGGGGCAACCCUGAUCCAGCCAUGCCGCGUGCGGGAAGAAGGCCUUCGGGUUGUAAACCGCUUCUGUCAGGGAAGAAAUCUCCUGGGCUAACACCUCGGGGGGAUGACGGUACCUGGAGAAUAAGCACCGGCUAACUACGUGCCAGCAGCCGCCGUAAGAC